rnacentral:misc_RNA from 1 species
CAGAGUUGAAAAACUCCCUAACCCUUUGUUUACAUACCUGUCCCGUUGCUUCGGCAGGCGGCCCCAGGGCGGGGCCUCCGGCCUGCUUAGGCAGGUGCCUGCCGCUGGCACAAAACUCUUUGUUAUAUUGUACCACUCUGAGUCACUAAAAAUGAAUCA